UACUGUAGGUGAUUUGGCUUGUUGUUUAAAGUUGUUUUAAUUUUGAGAUAUCCUUGUAAACAGGUGUUGUAACUUCCUUGCUCUGGUGACCAAGUUAUCCAUAGAAUUCUAGUUGAAGCAGACUUCAAAACUAGGUAUCUAUACCUUAAGAAACGUACAGUUCCUUGCUCUGGUGACCAAGUUAUCCAUAGAAUUCUAGUUGAAGCAAACUUCAAAACUAGGUAUCUAUACCUUAAGAAACGUAUAGAAGAUUUAUUUUGUAAUGUUACUACUUCUUAGUUUGUUUGUUUUUUGUUUAUUAUUCUAAUACAUAGUUUAUUUUUAGGUUGGUUUAUUCUAGAUGUCUUAUACCACAAAGUGAAGUCACAUUACCGAGUAAGCAUCUGUUUUGCUAUUGCCUUUAUGUAGAAUUCGAGGGUGGAGAGUUGGGAUGAAGAUGUGUAGCCAGUUGCUAAUUGUUAUAAAGAGGGUGCCCUCCUAGACAUUACAAAUUUUGUGCUAUACAGAGAUUUAUAGUAAUGGUUAUUAUCUUAUGUAGUUGUUUUGUAAGGCUUUACAGGUGUUGGAAACAUUACUUAAAGAUGACUUUAUAUCUCAAUCAAGGAUUAAUUCAGAGGUCGGUACCUUGAUCUACAUUAAAGUUGUAGUUGUAGAUGUAUGUCCGUAAUUUGUGUUCCAUUUCAUGAAUAAGAUACAUAUUAAUUUUGUUUAUAUACACAUGUGGGGAAUUAUAGUUUAGCUUGUUAUUCAGGUUUGUUCACAGUACAUUUCUCUUUAUUUUCUUACAUACAUAUGUGAAUGUGCUACACAUGUUUUGACAAUACUCUAAAUUAAUCUGAGUUAUUUAUAGGGUGGAAAUGUUAUGAUUGCAGCUAUUUGCGGAUGGUGUCAUCCAAUUUGAGUAUGACAUUAAUCCAACACAGAAGCUCAAGUUUGGUUCAAUGGUAUGUUGUCAAGAAUAUUUAUGUAGUUGUGCAAGAAAAGUUUCUUUCAUUUCUUUAUAUUCUCAAUUAACAAGGUAUAUGUAAAUUUUACAUGUUUGGUCGAUGCAAGUCUGCCCCAUCGAUUUGUCUCGUUAGUCUGAUACUUGAUUCAGUACCAUUUAUACAUGACAUGGUUAGUUUUAAUAGAUUCAGUUAAGGUUGUUGAGCAUAUACUAUUUGUGAAUUAUCUAAGUCUGAAUCUUGUUAGGUUGUUUGAUUGUCUAGGAUGUUAUUGGCGCAAGGAUAGAGAUUGUAAGAGAUGGCGAAGAAUGGAAUCUCAUUGAGCGUUGAUAGAGAAGUAUAGUAUAGUUUGAUUGUAUUUUAUAGCCUUUUAUAGUUUUGGAUAUUAUUAUUGCAAGUUGCUGAGUAAUUACCAU
rnacentral:lncRNA from 1 species